rnacentral:lncRNA from 1 species
GGGGCGCAAAGUUGCGCUGCGGGCCCCCCGCGGGGCUUUUGUGGAGCUGCCGUGGGGGCCCCGAGAUGCGGGGAUGAACGGGGAGGAAGGGGAGGAAGAGGAGAAAGCGGUGAAAGGGGAGGAAGGAGAGGAAGGGGAGGAAGAAGAGGAAGGGGAGAAAAAAGAGGAAGAAGAGGAGGAGGAGGCCGGGACGGGGCCGCCGCACUUCUCCGCUGUUUUUUCUCCCCAGCUGCAGGUGCGGCGGGGCUGUGCCGAACCGGCUGCCCCCGGGGAUCCGGCCCCUGGGGACCCCCCGAAUCCCCCCGGCCGCCCCCCGAAACCCCGCAGCCGGCGAGGGAAGCGGCAGAGGAAAGCCAAAAAACAAAACAAAACAAAAAAAAAACAAAAAGCAAAUCCGCAGCGUUAAGGACAUCGCCGGGGGAGGGAAAAGGAGGCGGAUUUGUGUGGUUCGGGGCAAGAGGAUGGAGGAGAGAAAAUACGGAGAGGAGGCCACCGAAAAGAAAGAAAUAAAACAAAAGGUAAAGAAAAAGAGAACAGAGAAAGAAACGGAAAAUAAUAAUAUUAAAAAAAAAAGAGUGACAAGUGAAAAAAUCUGCAGACGAAAGCAGAGAAAAAGAAACAAGAAAAAAAGAGAAGAGAAAGGAAAACGGGAGAGUGAGGAAAAAAUAAAGAACAAAAAUAAACGAAAACGGAUGGAAGGAAUGAAGGAAAAACGAAAAAUAAUAAAAAAGAAAAUCAGAAAGAAAAAAGGUAAAAGAAGCUAGGAAGAGGUGAACGAAAAAAAAAUGAAGAAAUUAAAUAAAAUAAGGGUAGAAACGAGGCAGGAAAACCAUCGGGAGCGCGGAAACGGAAGAAGAGAGAAACGGGAAGGAAUGAAAGAAAGGAUGGAAAAUAAAGGGCACGAAAAGGAAAGCUGGAGAAAGCGCGAGCGAGGAAGGAAGGAAACGAAGGAAAACAAAGAGAGGAGGUGAGAAAGGAGAGAGAAAGAAAUAAAUGAAGAAGGCACCGACUAAGGAGGGAAGGAGCAGGACGAGAGGAGGCGACGGGAGCGCCCGCUGCGCCCUUCCCCAGCGCGCUGCGCCCGAAGUUUGCCCUCGGGGGGGGGGUUCGCCGCUGAAUUUCCACGCCGGGGAGAGACCUCGGGGAGGGUCGGGGCCGGGGGUCACGGCCCCGGUACCGGCCCCAACACCGGCCCCGGGGGGGGCCCUGCAAUUCCCCCCCGCGCUGCGCCCCGGAGCCGCGCAGCAGAGCCGCGUUCCCACGGACUUGUUCCCGAGGGGAGCGCACGGAGAAGCGGCGUCGCUUGUAGAAGAUGUCGAUGGAAUUUACACCCUAAAAAAAAUAAUAAUAAUAAUAAAAAAAUCCCCUUUCAAGAAUAAAGUGUAUCAACUUACAACACAACAGACGGCAGAGGGAUAAGUGAAACAGACAAAAGACAAACAAGAUAAUAAUCUGUUUCCAAUCAGUUAAGCCCUGUAGAAUUUGUAAUACGCGGUUUGCAUAUUCCCCCGGUGUUUUGUAAUUAAUUAUCUAGCUGCUAGGAUGCUCCGCCGCCGACUUGGUGGAGGUUUUCCCCGAUUUCCCCUAUUUUCGGGUGCAGCGCGGAGCGGGGCCGGAGGAUGCCGCAGCCGCCCCCUCCUCUCCCCGGUAAAAGGGGGCCGGGGCCGUUUUAACAUUAAACAAACCCAGCAAGCAUCUCGUCGCCGGGCCAUAGGCGUUUCUGAGUGACUGCGUUACAAAUUGUAAAUUUAAAUAGCUCACAGGAUUCAUUACCUCCCGCGUCUGAUUUCACCCAGCCGUGAAAAAUUGUCCUGGUGUACCACUGAGAAAGGGUUUGCUGCAAAGAGCCACAGCCUAAUCACCAGCUUUCUCUCUCCAACAAAAGUGUAAUUAUUUUGUUUUGGGUGUAAAUAUAACCCACGGUACAAAAAAAAAAAAAAAAAAAAAAAAAAAAGAAAAAAAAAAAAAAAGAUAAACCUCCAGCAGCGUCUGAAUGCAUUGCGGGGCCGUUUAGAAAGAUCCGUCCUAAAUUAAUACCAAGGUUAAAAGGGGACGUGGAAAUUUCCGAGAGGUCCGGGGGGUGCUGGGGGUUGCGGAGCUGCGGAGCCCCGAGCAUCGCCACAGCCCCCCCGGAGCUCCCCCGGCAAGGAGGGACCCCAAGCCGGGAGGGAUCCCAACCCCGACCCCAAUCUCCUGCCCCCAAGAUGGGCCCCGGUGCCCUUCCCGAUUUCUCCGUGCCCCCCCAAAUCUCCUCCUCUCUCCCCCUUUUCGGUACCGGGGAGCCCGGCCCGGGGGGGUUUUGCUCGCCGCGGGUGUUUUUGUGCCCAGCGGGAGGGGAACACACAAAUAAACAAUCAAACCAACCCA